UUUUCCAGAUCAAUUGGUUCUCCAGUAUUAAAAUAAAAUGGCCAGUGCUGAAUAUAUAAAGGUUUUAACGCGGGCACGAAAUGCAUUUAAAGGUGGAGUUACUAAAAAUGUUGCUUUUCGUAUUCAACAGUUGAAAAACAUGUACAGAAUGUUAGAAGAAAAUG